CCUAUUGUUAGGCCGGCGUCACAACCGGUUCUAUUCCACCCUGUUUUUUGCGCACCUUUUUUGUUUCCUCGGUGGGCUUGCCCGCCGAUAGGACACUUUUUCAACUCGUACUGUUAGCAAUCAGUGUCAAAAGUACAUACAAAAUGGUAA
rnacentral:misc_RNA from 1 species